rnacentral:lncRNA from 1 species
CGGCUAUGAGCAAGCGCCAUCUUUCUUGUUAGAAUUGCUGGCUGCAGAUAAAACUAAGGAAUGAAAAUAUAGGCCAUCUGUUUUGAAGAGUUUGGAAAACACCACAAAAAUACUGGCCAAUAAACUGCCACAGAGUAUUAUUUUCUCAGCACUGAAACAGCUCCAGAAUGCGCCAUUAUAGGAAAGUAGUCUUCAGUUACCUUGUGAUUCUGUCUGAAUACUACUAAGAAAGGCACAUGGUCCUGGCAAUCUCCAGGAAGAACCUGUUUCACUGUAUCGAGCCUCGGUUCAUAAUGGAUCCCCACCCAGACAUAAUCCUGAGGACUUUGAACCUGGGCUAGAAGACAGGUUAACUGAUUGCUGGUCGUGGUUUGGCCAGGGAAAUAUCUGCCAAGUGCAACCAACUUAUCUCAGCUAAGACCCCGGCUUAAUCUCUCUCUAUUUGCAGCAGGUGAGGUAUGAGACCCAGGGUCUGAACAAAGCCCAUGGUGUAAAGGAAGUGAUCGAGCCUUGAACCUACCAGUGGCAGUAUGACACUAGGCCUUCAUCUCAUCUAUUCCCUGCUGAAUUGCCUCUAUUAAUGUCACCAUCAUGGUCACAUUAGACAUUGGCCUAUGUGAGAAAGGGGCACUGUUCAGUGGGGGUUGGGGAUGGGGGGAAUGAUGGCGUGUGUUGAUC